rnacentral:rRNA from 1 species
UACGUAGGUGGCAAGCGUUGUCCGGAUUUACUGGGCGUAAAGAGCGCGCAGGCGGUCGUUCAAGUCGCGUGUGAAAGCCCCCGGCUCAACUGGGGAGGGUCACGCGAUACUGAUCGACUCGAAGGCAGGAGAGGGAAGUGGAAUUCCUGGUGUAGCGGUGAAAUGCGUAGAUAUCAGGAGGAACACCUGCGGUGUAGACGGCUUACUGGACCAUCACUGACGCUGAGGCACGAAAGCGUGGGUAGCAAACAGG